AUAAAAGCGUAUUUUGCGUGGUUUGCAUGUGGCAAAAAUUGCGAGCAGUCUGGCAAAUAUCUAAUCCGAAUUUAGCAUCGAAUGCAAAACUGUUGGCGGUCCUCAAAACUAGAAGGGUAUCGACGGCCGCGGCGAACGCUGCCGGCUGCCACUGGACCAGGAUGACGGCGCCGGGCGGCACGGCCACCUGGCGCUGCGGCUGCUCGGCCGACAGCCGCGCCAGGCAGGUGUUGGCGCUGCUGUUGACCAGCUGCAGCUGGUAGGGCGCUGGUGCGGCGGACGGCUUCUCGCCGCCCUCGGCUCCCUCCAUCGGCUCGUCGGCAGGCUUCUCGGCCGGGUCGUCGUCGGGAGUGGCCGCCUCGGCGCCGCCCACCGCCGCCGUGCCGUUCGGCAGGGCUGUAACGCGGGAGGGCAGGGUGUGGGAUGUUGGCAACACAUCACAGUAGCCGACUAACAUCGUGAAACACAGAGACACACCUAGACAUGACAGUCAAGUGGAAACAUAACCUACUCAGUACUCAACCCUCUUAACUAAUAAAUCCUAAUAACACAGUCACGAUCUUUUUGCUAGCAUAUCAAAUCACAAACUCAUUUCCUGAGAACCCACUUUAUUAAUGAUCGGUCCCACGUCCACAGCCUCCAUCUCGGUUCCCAACAGACAAACACUGGUCCCCAGUUGCCCCACCUCCACUAUCGGUGGGCACAUCGGCCGCCUCGGGUCCGGUCCACCAGUCGGAGGGCACCAGGGGCCGCACGUAGCGCGCCGUCGCCGCCGCCACCUUCUCUGACAGCUCGGCGUAGCUGGUGCGGUCGCGGCGCACGCAGACGAAGAACGGCGCACCGCCGACGCCCACGUCACCGCGCCGCACGUACACGGGCACCGGCUGCAGGCCGGACGACGGCGGCGGCGUCUCGAACCUACGACGAUGCAAGUGGGGGUUAGAGCGAGACUGUAAGAGACUGCGGGAGAAAUCAUUAGAUAUGUCCGCAAAACAACUCAUGGGAAAACUGGCGA